UACGUAGGGUGCAAGCGUUAAUCGGAAUUACUGGGCGUAAAGCGUGCGCAGGCGGUUCUAUAAGACAGAUGUGAAAUCCCCGGGCUCAACCUGGGAACUGCAUUUGUGACUGUAGAGCUGGAGUACGGUAGAGGGGGAUGGAAUUCCGCGUGUAGCAGUGAAAUGCGUAGAUAUGCGGAGGAACACCGAUGGAGAAGGCAAUCCCCUGGACCUGUACUGACGCUCAUGCACGAAAGCGUGGGGAGCAAACAGG
rnacentral:rRNA from 1 species